ACCCCCUGGCAAUGGGCAAAGAGACACCUUGUUAAUGGUGAUGUUCUUAUAUCAGCCAGGGGCAGAGUGGAUGGCAGUCCUCUGUUCAUCCUAGCUUGAUGCCUGCCUUGGUGGCCAAAGCUGUUUCAUGCCUAGGGCACAGUA